rnacentral:rRNA from 1 species
GAUGAACGCUGGCGGCGUGCCUAAUACAUGCAAGUCGAGCGAACGGACGAGAAGCUUGCUUCUCUGAUGUUAGCGGCGGACGGGUGAGUAACACGUGGAUAACCUACCUAUAAGACUGGGAUAACUUCGGGAAACCGGAGCUAAUACCGGAUAAUAUUUUGAACCGCAUGGUUCAAAAGUAAAAGACGGUCUUGCUGUCACUUAUAGAUGGAUCCGCGCUGCAUUAGCUAGUUGGUAAGGUAACGGCUUACCAAGGCAACGAUGCAUAGCCGACCUGAGAGGGUGAUCGGCCACACUGGAACUGAGACACGGUCCAGACUCCUACGGGAGGCAGCAGUAGGGAAUCUUCCGCAAUGGGCGAAAGCCUGACGGAGCAACGCCGCGUGAGUGAUGAAGGUCUUCGGAUCGUAAAACUCUGUUAUUAGGGAAGAACAUAUGUGUAAGUAACUGUGCACAUCUUGACGGUACCUAAUCAGAAAGCCACGGCUAACUACGUGCCAGCAGCCGCGGUAAUACGUAGGUGGCAAGCGUUAUCCGGAAUUAUUGGGCGUAAAGCGCGCGUAGCGGUUUUUUAAGUCUGAUGUGAAAGCCCACGGCUCAACCGUGGAGGGUCAUUGGAAACUGGAAAACUUGAGUGCAGAAGAGGAAAGUGGAAUUCCAUGUGUAGCGGUGAAAUGCGCAGAGAUAUGGAGGAACACCAGUGGCGAAGGCGACUUUCUGGUCUGUAACUGACGCUGAUGUGCGAAAGCGUGGGGAUCAAACAGGAUUAGAUACCCUGGUAGUCCACGCCGUAAACGAUGGGUGCUAAGUGUUAGGGGGUUUCCGCCCCUUAGUGCUGCAGCUAACGCAUUAAGCACUCCGCCUGGGGAGUACGACCGCAAGGUUGAAACUCAAAGGAAUUGACGGGGACCCGCACAAGCGGUGGAGCAUGUGGUUUAAUUCGAAGCAACGCGAAGAACCUUACCAAAUCUUGACAUCCUUUGACAACUCUAGAGAUAGAGCCUUCCCCUUCGGGGGACAAAGUGACAGGUGGUGCAUGGUUGUCGUCAGCUCGUGUCGUGAGAUGUUGGGUUAAGUCCCGCAACGAGCGCAACCCUUAAGCUUAGUUGCCAUCAUUAAGUUGGGCACUCUAAGUUGACUGCCGGUGACAAACCGGAGGAAGGUGGGGAUGACGUCAAAUCAUCAUGCCCCUUAUGAUUUGGGCUACACACGUGCUACAAUGGACAAUACAAAGGGCAGCGAAACCGCGAGGUCAAGCAAAUCCCAUAAAGUUGUUCUCAGUUCGGAUUGUAGUCUGCAACUCGACUACAUGAAGCUGGAAUCGCUAGUAAUCGUAGAUCAGCAUGCUACGGUGAAUACGUUCCCGGGUCU